rnacentral:rRNA from 1 species
UACGUAGGGGCCUAGCGUUGUUCGGAUUUACUGGGCGUAAAGCGCACGUAGGCGGUUUGUUAAGUGAGAGGUGAAAUCCCAGAGCUCAACUCUGGAACUGCCUUUCAUACUGGCAAGCUAGAGUCCGGAAGAGGUAAGUGGAACUCCUAGUGUAGAGGUGGAAUUCGUAGAUAUUAGGAAGAACACCAGUGGCGAAGGCGGCUUACUGGUCCGGAACUGACGCUGAGGUGGCGAAAGCGUGGGGAGCAAACAGG